rfam:Oryza meridionalis cultivar OR44 (W2112) chromosome 1, whole genome shotgun sequence.
UGAUGGUAUGAUGAUCAAAUUUGUUUCCCUAUUGGUUUGAUUGGCCGUCAUGAUGGCCUCAAAUUGUAUUAGCUCUAUCUGAUCAUCU